ensembl:lincRNA Gm28050 predicted gene, 28050
AGUAGAGGCCUCCCUUCCGAGGAGGUGGCGCAGGCUGCUCGGCUACCCGGUGAGGUCCACGCGCAGCCCACCCGGCGCUCGGUUCCCCGGCCGCUGUCUCCCGCUGCAGGCGGCGGCGCCGGGCCUCGGAGGCUUCUAAUGUGAGGAAAAACAUGGAAUGACAAGUGUGGGAAAGAGCAAGCACUAAAUUACUGUCAGAAAAAUAAACGGAGCAGCACAGUGGUGCUCCGUGAUUUACGGGGGCAAUUAGUCACCACCCCACAGCGCUGCUGAGGACGGCCUGGCAGCAGACACAUCAGGCCCACGAGGAGGAAGAGGCUCUGCACUAAGCUCCAGAUGACUUUUCAAACAAGAGCAAGUCCGUGAGCACAUGAGAGUCUGUGUGUUCAUUCUGGGUGUCUACCCUUCACACUCCCCACCAGCUUGAUAAAUAAACAGACUUUUCGUGC